UCCUUCGUAGCUAAGUCUGUAAAGAAUCUGCCUGCAAUGCAGGAGACCCAGGUUCAAUCCCUGAGUUAGGAA
rnacentral:tRNA from 1 species